rnacentral:rRNA from 1 species
UUCAACAACGGAUCUCUUGGUUCUGGCAUCGAUGAAGAACGCAGCGAAAUGCGAUAAGUAAUGUGAAUUGCAGAAUUCAGUGAAUCAUCGAAUCUUUGAACGCACAUUGCGCCCGUCAGUAUUCUGGCGGGCAUGCCUGUUCGAGCG